GACGAACGCUGGCGGCGUGCCUAAUACAUGCAAGUCGAACGCUUCCUACCGGUGCUUGCACCGGGAAAGAAGAGUGGCGGACGGGUGAGUAACACGUGGGUAACCUACCUACAAGCGGGGGAUAACAUUCGGAAACGGAUGCUAAUACCGCAUAGAUCUUUUUGUCUCCUGGCAGAAAGAAGAAAGACGGUUUCGGCUGUCACUUGUAGAUGGACCCGCGGCGCAUUAGUUAGUUGGUGAGGUAAUGGCUCACCAAGACGAUGAUGCGUAGCCGACCUGAGAGGGUGAUCGGCCACACUGGGACUGAGACACGGCCCAGACUCCUGCGGGAGGCAGCAGUAGGGAAUCUUCCGCAAUGGACGAAAGUCUGACGGUGGAACGCCGCGUGAGUGAAGAAGGUUUUCGGAUCGUAAAACUCUGUUGUUAGAGAAGAACAAGGAUGAGAGUAACUGCUCGUCCCUUGACGGUAUCUAACCAGAAAGCCAUGGCUAACUACGUGCCAGCAGCCGCAGUAA
rnacentral:rRNA from 1 species